AUUGAACGCUGGCGGCAGGCCUAACACAUGCAAGUCGAGCGAGCGGCGGACGGGUGAGUAAUGUCAGGGAAACUGACAGAUGGAGGGGGAUAACUACUGGAAACGGUAGCUAAUAUCGCAUACCAUCAGAUGUGCCUAGAUGGGAUUAGCUGGUAGGUGGGGUAACGGCUCACCUAGGCGACGAUCCCUAGCUGGUCUGAGAGGAUGACCAGCCACACUGGAACUGAGACACGGUCCCGACUCCUACGGGCGGCAGCAGUGGGGAAUAUUGCACAAUGGGCGAAGGCCUGGUGCAGCCAUGCCGCGUGUGUGAAGAUGGCCUUCGGGUUGUAAAGCACUUUCAGCUGGGAGGCGUUCCCCGCAGAAGAAGCACCGGCUAACUCCGUGCCAGCAGCCGCGGUAAUAC
rnacentral:rRNA from 1 species